rnacentral:misc_RNA from 1 species
UCUCCGUUAUCCGAAGCAGUCUCCUAAGAGUGCGCCGCUUGCGCGGGUGGCAACAUAGGAUAGGGGUUGCGCUCGUUGCGGGACUUAACCCAACAUCUCACGACACGAGCUGACGACAGCCGUGCAGCACCUUGCACUCUGCCUGGUUUUACCCAGGAGACCCCAUCUCUGGGGCUGUCAGAGGCAUUCUAGCCCAGGUAAGGUUCUUCGCGUUGCGUCGAAUUAAACCACAUGCUCCACCGCUUGUGCGGGUCCCCGUCAAUUCCUCUGAGUUUUAGCCUUGCGGCCGUACUCCCCAGGCGGGGCACUUAAUGCGUUAGCUCCGGCACGGGAGGAGUCGACACCUCCCACACCUAGUGCCCAUCGUUUACGGCGUGGACUAC